rnacentral:rRNA from 1 species
AGGACGAACGCUGGCGGCGUGCUUAACACAUGCAAGUCGAACGGUGAAGCCUUUCGGGGUGGAUCAGUGGCGAACGGGUGAGUAACACGUGGGCAAUCUGCCCUGCAUUCUGGGACCAAGCCUUGGAAACGAGGUCUAAUACCGGAUACGACGCAUCCCCGCACUGGGGUGUGCGUGGAAAGCUCCGGCGAUGCAGGAUGAGCCCGCGGCCUAUCAGCUUGUUGGUGGGUGAUGGCCUACCAAGGCGACGACGGGUA